rnacentral:rRNA from 1 species
GACAGAGGGUGCAAACGUUGUUCGGAAUUACUGGGCGUAAAGCGCGUGUAGGCUGCUCCGCAAGUCGGAUGUGAAAGCCCUGGGCUCAACCUAGGAAGUGCAUUCGAUACUGCGGAGCUGGAGUCCUGGAGAGGAAGGCGGAAUUCUCGGUGUAGAGGUGAAAUUCGUAGAUAUCGAGAGGAACACCGGUGGCGAAGGCGGCCUUCUGGACAGUGACUGACGCUGAGACGCGAAAGCGUGGGAGCAACAGG